rnacentral:lncRNA from 1 species
CUAUGUGCACAUACAUAUAUUUGUAUGUAUGUAUAUCACCACGUAACAAAAGUUUCAUGUAACAUUUGUCUCCUGUUAUCUUCUAUGUUGUUCUAUUUCCUUAAAUACAUAAACAAAAGACGGUUUACAGACAAUAAAUUGACUUCAUGACUUCCCUAUAUAGGCUACCACCACAGUUCAAAAACUGCUCAAGGGUAUUAUCCCAAGCAGUGGAAUUGCUGGGUCAUGGCCUGUCUUAGCUCGGACUGUCAUAACAAAAUACUAUAGAGUAGGUGGCUUAAACAACAGACAUUUUUUUCUCACAGUUCUGGAGGCUGGAAGUUCAAGAUCAGGGUGCCAGCAUGGUCGGAUUUGGGCGAGAUCCCUUUUCCUGGCUUACAGACAGCUGCCUUCUUACUGUGUCCUCACAUGUAAGGCUCAGGUCUUCUCCUCUAAGAGCACUAAUCCCAUUAUGGGGGCUCCCCUCUUAUGAUCUCAUCUAAACUUAAUUACCUCCCAAGGCCCCAUCUCCAAAUACUAUCACAUUGGGGAGUAGGGUUUCAGCAUAUGAAUUUUGGGGGGGACACAUUCAGUCCACAGCUUGAGGUACACGCAUAUUCAGCUUUGCUAGACAAUGCCACUGUUUUCCAAAAGAGUUAUAGCAAAUUAUGCUUGCACAAGAAGACAAGCAAGUUGCCACUGUUGUGCCUCCUCACUGGAUUUAAAUAUAAUCCUAUCUGAUUCUGCCUAUGUGAAAUGGCAUCCUGUAAUCUAAGUAUAAAUUCCCAUAAUUAGUAGUGAGCCUGAGCAUCCUUCCUAUGUUUAUUGGCCAUCUGUAUUUUCCUGUUCCAUAAACUAUGAGACAGGGAAUCUAUCUACACAGGAAAAGUUUCCAUGGCCAUUUCAGAGCCUGAGUUAGGACACAUACUCCAGUGUGUGGCUCUGAUGUGUGACCAACCUGCCCAAGAGAAAAGGGAAGCAGUCAAACAUUACCUUCUCAGGAAGACUUCCAAUUCUUCUCAGGCCAGAGCAAAGUAGAAUCAGCAGCAAAAAGAAUAAAGAAAAACCAGGUGGAGAAAAGAGGUUUUGUUUUUCGUAAAGCUAAAAAGUCCUAACUUGGGCCACAGAAAAAAUCUGCUCUUGAAAAGUCUAGCUAUGUAAAUCUGGAUAAGUUGUUAUUCUUCUGUUCUCAGUCUUCCAAUCUGUAAAAUUAGGAUAGCAAUCUGUACCACUUCUUACCCUCAUGUGGGAAUUUGGAAAUAAAAAUUCUUUUAAAACUUAGAAGAUAAAGAGUUUGUAGAAAUCCGAGGUUCUGUGGGUGUUAGUCAUCCAACGCCUUCCAAAAGCUUAAGUGAGACGAGAGAACUGUAGACCUUUGAACAGCUUUUCAGAGUGAGCAGCUCUCCUGAAUUCCUGCCUGAAAGGCCUGAUGGCACUGCAGAACAAUAAAUUAUCCCCUAAAAUAACACAGCCCUACCUUUCAGUCUCAGAAAAGAAAUCUAAGAAACUCUUCAUGUUCAGGCAUAGAAACCAAAUCCCUUAGUGGUCAGAUGGCCUUUCUGGGGUCUCUUGUUCUCUGGUUCAGGUCAGUCACCGCACCUUUUGGUCUGAUCCCCUUCAGGCUGCAGAUGCAGAUCCACCCUAAUGUCAGACUUGCUUGUGUUAGAGUCAAUCACAAGAGUGAGGGCUCUGUAGUCCACAGCUCUUCCAUCCCAUUCUUAGGAUGAAGCAAUCACAGAAAGGAAACAGAAAUGACUCCUCUGAGGUAUCAAUUAUCAAAGCACAAAGGAAAAAGCUGGUACCAAAUAGCUUUCUUUACCAAAGAAUAAGAAGGUAGAUCGAUAUAAUUUAUAACCAAGGGGUGUUCCCAACCAGCAGGCCAGGAUCAUACCAGCUGCUGCUUCCACACCUCCUUUCUGAGGUUUUGACCUCACUGCCAGCACUCACUGUCAUCCUUUACUCACAUCAACCCCACCAAAUGGGGUGCGAAGACUUGGCAGGAAAAAAUUAUCCCUGAACCUUAUCAUACAAAGGGAAACUGCCUAAAGCCAUCUCCAGCUAGAAGACAUGCCACCUGCAGAGCAGUACAAAGGCAGCUGAAUUGAGCCAAGUGUUACAAUGCUGGUGGGCUAGUGGGUGCUCUUCCCGCAUCUCUAUGAUGUUCAUGAUCAGCACUUGCAUCUUUUUCUGAGCUCACUGCUGCUUCCAGUAUUUGCUAUUGACUUUUUUUUUUUAAAGUAGGCUUUUUGGUGAGGGAGAUUGGCCCUGAGUUAACAUCUAUUGCCAAUCUUCCUCGUUUUUUUUUUUUUCUCCCUAAAGCCCCAGUACACAGUUGUAUAUCCUAGUUGUAGGUCAUUCUAGUUCUCUAUGUGGGAUGCCGCCACAGCACAGCUUGAUGAGUGGUGUGUAGGUACGCACGCAGGAUCGGAACUGGCGAACCCCGGGCCGCUGAAGCAAAAAACACCAACUUAACCACUUGGCUGUGGGGCUGGCCACUACUAUUGACUUCUUUUGCUCUAGGCAGACUCUCUCAGCCAAAGUUUCACCUUAGCUCAGGAACUUCCCUAAUUCUGUGAGUCAGUGUUCUAACACAUGGAGUUAAGGAAGGAAAGGAAAUCAUACCUACCAAGGACCCAGGAGGAUCACUCCUUCAGAGAUCAGUAAUAUGGUUAAAACAAGACCUAGGAGAAAUUCACUUUGGUUGCAAAAUUGGACCUAAAGAGAUAUUUACACAUUCAGUAAAGAUUUAUCUAUAAUUUUCCUCUGUUUGGACUAAAAUUAUAAAUAGCUGUCAUCUACUUUCAUACAAAAAAGGGAUGGCAAAGCCAAAAGCCGGCAAAGAGCAGGAGGAGGACGCCAGAAUGAGAGUAAGCACUACAUACAGAUUUUUUCACUUACUCACAACUUGUCUUCAGAAGCAGCAUCCAAGGACAAAAGGAUUCAAAAGCAAGGCCCUAGGUAAACAAUUUUCUUCUAGAGCCCAAGAAAAGAAGUUUUUCACAAGCACUAAUAUGCUAAUAUGUCUAGGUCUCAGUAAAAUAUAGUAUAGAAGAACUAUUGCAAAAACCUGAGAACAUUUCCUAAUUAUUAACAGAUCUCUUUCCA